GUGCCCACUUUGGCAGCAUAUAUACUAAAAUUAGAAUGAUACUGAGACAAUUAGCAUGCCCCCCAAGGAUGACAUGCAAAUUCAUGAAGGGCUCCCUACUUUG